AGUGGACGCUGGCGGUAGGCCUAACACAUGCAAGUCGAACGGCAGCACAGUAAGAGCUUGCUCUUACGGGUGGCGAGUGGCGGACGGGUGAGGAAUACAUCGGAAUCUACUUUUUCGUGGGGGAUAACGUAGGGAGACUUACGCUAAUACCGCAUACGACCUACGGGUGAAAGCAGGGGAUCUUCGGACCUUGCGCGAUUGAAUGAGCCGAUGUCGGAUUAGCUAGUUGGCGGGGUAAAGGCCCACCAAGGCGACGAUCCGUAGCUGGUCUGAGAGGAUGAUCAGCCACACUGGAACUGAGACACGGUCCAGACUCCUACGGGAGGCAGCAGUGGGGAAUAUUGGACAAUGGGCGCAAGCCUGAUCCAGCCAUACCGCGUGGGUGAAGAAGGCCUUCGGGUUGUAAAGCCCUUUUGUUGGGAAAGAAAAGCAGCAGGUUAAUACCCCGCUGUUCUGACGGUACCCAAAGAAUAAGCACCGGCUAACUUCGUG
rnacentral:rRNA from 1 species